rnacentral:rRNA from 1 species
GAUGAACGCUGGCGGCGUGCCUAAUACAUGCAAGUCGAGCGAACAGACGAGGAGCUUGCUCCUCUAACGUUAGCGGCGGACGGGUGAGUAACACGUGGAUAACCUACCUAUAAGACUGGGAUAACUUCGGGAAACCAGAGCUAAUACCAGAUAAUAUAUUCAACCGCAUGGUUCAAUAGUGCAAGACGGCUUUGCUGUCACUUAUAGAUGGAUCCGCGCCGCAUUAGCUAGUUGGUAAGGUAACGGCUUACCAAGGCAACGAUGCGUAGCCGACCUGAGAGGGUGAUCGGCCACACUGGAACUGAGACACGGUCCAGACUCCUACGGGAGGCAGCAGUAGGGAAUCUUCGGCAAUGGGCGAAAGCUUGACGGAGCAACGCCGCGUGAGUGAUGAAGGUCUUCGGAUCGUAAAACUCUGUUAUUAGGGAAGAACAAAUGUGUAAGUAACUAUGCACGUCUUGACGGUACCUAAUCAGAAAGCCACGGCUAACUACGUG